rnacentral:tRNA from 1 species
UCCCUGGUGGCUCAGAGGGUAAAGAAUCUGCCUGCAAUGCAGGAGACCUGGGUUUGAUCCCUGGGCUGGGAA